rnacentral:rRNA from 1 species
UACGUAGGUGGCAAGCGUUGUCCGGAUUUACUGGGCGUAAAGAGCGCGCAGGCGGUCGUUCAAGUCGCGUGUGAAAGCCCCCGGCUCAACUGGGAGGGUCACGCGAUACUGAUCGACUCGAAGGCAGGAGAGGGUAGUGGAAUUCCCGGUGUAGUGGUGAAAUGCGUAGAUAUCGGGAGGAACACCAGUGGCGAAGGCGACUACCUGGCCUGUUCUGACGCUGAGGCGCGAAAGCUGAGGGAGCAAC